GAAAUAUAUUAAAGUAAUAAGAUAUUGAUUAGUGAGUGGUAAAGUAAUUGAGUUGCAGUGGGUAUAAUUAAAACAUGGUAAUUAAGUGAGUAAUAAUUCAACAAUUCCAUGGUCCCUUCAUCUGCCAACGUUGUUUGAAAAAUAUCUCAGAAGGCUAAUGUACAAACUCUAAAAUCGCAUAAUAAGCAAUUAACACUGGAAGCGACGCCAUCAUUCCAAAGAUCACAGCUGUACUUAGCACCUCUGCAUGCAAUCCAUAUUCUUUAGCGAAGAUGAAGGAUGUAAUGGAUUGUGGUAACGCUGCCUGAAUGAUAGCAACUCGUAAAACGUCACCAUGCAAACCCGCAGCCAUAGAACCAAUAGCCAUGGCUGCAGGUCCAGCGAUGAACCUUAGAACCAUGCCUAUCACAGUUAAGCCUGUCCCACAGGCAAUAAACUUUUCUUGUAAAGCCAUGAAGAUCCCCAUGCUAAACAUGGCAGUGCCUGUACCAGCCUUUGACAUAAUCAAUAUUGAUCCCUCCAUGAUGCUUGGCAUUUCAAAAUUCCACCUGUUUGCUAUAAAAGCCCAAACAAGGCCAAGGAUACAGGCAUAUGAGUUAGGAUUCAUAGCCAAUUUGAUCCACACCACCUUCAUUAAAACCCAGAAAGAAGCAGGCCUGGUUGUGCUUGCAAUGAUGUUAUUGUGAUCUAUACCACUAGCAUUUCCCUCCAAAUCCUUCUCUAAAUUGUCACUAUUAGUAUUAGAAGAAGAAAUGUCAAGUCCUGAUCUUCUAAAUUCCAACACAAACAACAAAAUGGUAAGCCAAAUUAUGGCUUGGAUGACAGAUGAUUGAACCACAAGAUCAACUGCCAUUUGCCCGUACAUGGCUUUCAUUAGAGGCACACCCACAACAAGAGAAUUAGUUAAGGUACAUAAAGAGAAACUUGUAAUGGACCAUGUGUAGCUUCCUUUGCUACUACACUUAGCCCAAAAACCAAGCACCACCACAAUUAUCAACUUCGAUAUAGCAUCUGCACCAAUGAAUAGAUAAUUCAUGUUGAAAGGAUCAACAUGGGCUGUGAAUUCAAAGGUGAAAAGAGGGAGAGUGAAGUAACAAACAAAUCUAUUCACAGCUCCACACUGUUCAGGUGUAAAUAUUUUCCACCACCUUACAGAUCCGUAUCCUAACACUAGGGCCACAUAGAGGGGUACCAUGGCCACAACCACAUUAUAAACAUCUUCCCAUCCUAUCAUUUUUCUUGCAAAAAACUUUCUUUCUCUCUUCAAGAUACGUCAACCCCUCUUCAAAGAACCGACCCUACCCUUCCCUUAUUUAAGGUUUUGAUGACAAGUACUAUGAAGAAAGUAGAAAGGGUUAAGUAUUUAUGUGCAUGCAAGAGGUCAUCAUCGAUCGACCAAGCAUUAUUUUUUGGCAUAUUUUGAGAUAGGUUGGUGGGUUGGUGUAUACGAUUCUAUGCUGUGGAUUAUUGAUCGAAAGUGUGACCUAAUAAGAGGCAUU
rnacentral:misc_RNA from 1 species